rnacentral:rRNA from 1 species
AUUGAACGCUGGCGGCAGGCUUAACACAUGCAAGUCGAGCGGGGGAAGGUAGCUUGCUACCGGACCUAGCGGCGGACGGGUGAGUAAUGCUUAGGAAUCUGCCUAUUAGUGGGGGACAACAUCUCGAAAGGGAUGCUAAUACCGCAUACGUCCUACGGGAGAAAGCAGGGGAUCUUCGGACCUUGCGCUAAUAGAUGAGCCUAAGUCGGAUUAGCUAGUUGGUGGGGUAAAGGCCUACCAAGGCGACGAUCUGUAGCGGGUCUGAGAGGAUGAUCCGCCACACUGGGACUGAGACACGGCCCAGACUCCUACGGGAGGCAGCAGUGGGGAAUAUUGGUCAAUGGGGGGAACCCUGAUCCAGCCAUGCCGCGUGUGUGAAGAAGGCCUUAUGGUUGUAAAGCACUUUAAGCGAGGAGGAGGCUACUUUAGUUAAUACCUAGAGAUAGGUGACGUUACUCGCAGAAUAAGCACCGGCUAACUCUGUG